CGGACUGGAAACUCGCCGUUCACAUUCCGGUUUUCGCGAUUUUUUAGGUUUUCGCGACGGUUUCUCGCGGCGAAAAUACGUUGCGCGUGCGUGUUUAUCCCCAUAGAAAAGGGGAAAAGUGUUGUGUGCGAAGAAGAAACGCCCAAACAAGGCAAAAAUUGGUAAAAAGUCCCCGCUGAAGAGGGGUGAAACUUAAGUCAAUGGCACCGAACAAGGCGAAGUGAUAUGUUUUCGGUUGUUUGCCUUCUGUUUCCAAGUGCCAGUGCGUGGGUGUUUUUCCAAAAGGCGCGGAAUUCUAUUCCGGCAAUAAUUAAACUUUACACCGUCACGACUGAUUUUGGAACAGAAAGCAAAACUUCAGCGGAACGAUUUAUUACUCCGCCACUAGUGCGAAGCACGCAAAACGUUAACGAAGGUAAUGAAGAACCUUCUAAUAGCAGUUCUAGACCCCAGAUGGAGUAACCUUGUUCGGUAGGCCUCCUUGUUUGGACAUCUAUAACGGAGAUCUUUCUUAAUGGAACUCAACUUCCCAAGGCAGAUCUCCAUUUCUUCCGCAGCAUCCCCAUGAAACACGCGCAAGUGUUCCACCGGAGACGACCGUUCUUCGGCCAACAAUCCCCGUAAACGACGCUGCCGCUGAACCCCAGAUGGAUCCGAAUCAGCCGAGACGACAACAUUCCGCGAGCUCAACUCAAAAUCUAGCUCGUCGAAAUGCAAAUGGUCAACCCGCAUCAACCAAUAAGCUCUGUUGAGCUCUUCAACCAUCAUUGCCAUUUUUUCAAUGCUCUUGGAAAAGAACUCAAAAACACAAAGCAUUAAGAAUUUGAGCUGAAUUAAAAAAAGGUUUCGAAUCGGAUUAAAAUUUUAGGGUUGGCAACCACCUUGACUGGGAAAGACUCAAGCUUUCUACAAUUCGUCUGACAGUUUCACCAAAACCAACGCAAAAUCACCGAUUCAAAAAACAAAAAUAAAUAAGUGUAUUUAUAAGGAAUAUUUAAUAAAAUAUAUAAAUAACAAUAAUAAAUAAAUAAACAAUACGACCGCGAACAAUAUUGCGGAAGAAACCUCACCACUUGCGUGACAAAAAUUCUAGCAAAAAUCCAAUUUUUGAUAGAGGUACCCCACA